rnacentral:rRNA from 1 species
GUGCCAGCCGCCGCGGUAAUACGUAGGGGGCGAGCGUUGUCCGGAAUUACUGGGCGUAAAGGGUGCGUAGGCGGCCUUUUAAGUCAGAUGUGAAAGGCUGCGGCUUAACCGCAGGACUGCAUUUGAAACUGGAAGGCUUGAGUGUCGGAGAGGGUAGUGGAAUUCCCAGUGUAGCGGUGAAAUGCGUAGAUAUUGGGAGGAACACCAGUGGCGAAGGCGACUACCUGGACGAUAACUGACGCUGAGGCACGAAAGCUAGGGGAGCAAACAGGAUUAGAUACCCUGGUAGUCCUAGCCGUAAACGAUGGGUACUAGGUGUAGGUGGUUUCGAUACCAUCUGUGCCGCAGUUAACGCAAUAAGUACCCCGCCUGGGGAGUACGGUCGCAAGACUGAAACUCAAAGAAAUUGACGG